ACAGAUACUCACACGGACAAAAAUACGACAUUUUAUGUAUGCAAUAAAAUAAAAAAAGUAGCGCACAGGGUUUCCUUCUUUUUUUAUUUAUUUUUUCCCCUUUUUGUUGGCCUUCUUUUCGUAUGCUUUUAA
rnacentral:ribozyme from 12 species